GAUGAACGCUGGCGGCGUGCCUAAUACAUGCAAGUCGAGCGAACGGACGAGAAGCUUGCUUCUCUGAUGUUAGCGGCGGACGGGUGAGUAGCACGUGGAUAACCUACCUAUAAGACUGGGAUAACUUCGGGAAACCGUAGCUAAUACCGGAUAAUAUUUUGAACCGCAUGGUUCAAAAGUGAAAGACGGUCUUGCUGUCACUUAUAGAUGGAUCCGCGCUGCAUUAGCUAGUUGGUAAGGUAACGGCUUACCAAGGCAACGAUGCAUAGCCGACCUGAGAGGGUGAUCGGCCACACUGGAACUGAGACACGGUCCAGACUCCUACGGGAGGCAGCAGUAGGGAAUCUUCCGCAAUGGGCGAAAGCCUGACGGAGCAACGCCGCGUGAGUGAUGAAGGUCUUCGGAUCGUAAAACUCUGUUAUUAGGGAAGAACAUAUGUGUAAGUAACUGUGCACAUCUUGACGGUACCUAAUCAGUAAGCCACGGCUAACUACGUG
rnacentral:rRNA from 1 species